GAUAUGGCUCAGGAUGAACGCUAGCUACAGGCUUAACACAUGCAAGUCGAGGGGCAGCAUAUUGGUAGCUUGCUACUAAUGAUGGCGACCGGCGCACGGGUGAGUAACGCGUAUCCAACCUUCCCUAUACUAGAGGAUAGCCCGGCGAAAGUCGGAUUAAUACUCUAUGUUCUUCGUAGAUGACAUCUGAAAUGAAGCAAAGAUUUAUCGGUAUAGGAUGGGGAUGCGUCUGAUUAGGUUGUUGGCGGGGUAACGGCCCACCAAGCCUGCGAUCAGUAGGGGUUCUGAGAGGAAGGUCCCCCACAUUGGAACUGAGACACGGUCCAAACUCCUACGGGAGGCAGCAGUGAGGAAUAUUGGUCAAUGGACGAGAGUCUGAACCAGCCAAGUAGCGUGCAGGAUGACGGCCCUAUGGGUUGUAAACUGCUUUUAUAUAGGGAUAAAGUGAUCUACGUGUAGAUUUUUGUAGGUACUAUAUGAAUAAGGACCGGCUAAUUCCGUGCCAGCCGCCGC
rnacentral:rRNA from 1 species